rnacentral:rRNA from 1 species
GGGGAAUAUUGGACAAUGGGCGCAAGCCUGAUCCAGCCAUGCCGCGUGAGUGAUGAAGGUCUUAGGAUUGUAAAGCUCUUUCACCGGGGACGAUAAUGACGGUACCCGGAGAAGAAGCCCCGGCUAACUUCGUGCCAGCAGCCGCGGUAAUACGAAGGGGGCUAGCGUUGUUCGGAAUUACUGGGCGUAAAGCGCACGUAGGCGGACAUUUAAGUCAGGGGUGAAAUCCCGGGGCUCAACCCCGGAACUGCCCUUGAAACUGCAGUGCUAGAAUCUUGGAGAGGCGAGUGGAAUUCCGAGUGUAGAGGUGAAAUUCGUAGAUAUUCGGAAGAACACCAGUGGCGAAGGCGACUCGCUGGACAAGUAUUGACGCUGAGGUGCGAAAGCGUGGGGAGCAAA